AUUGAACGCUGGCGGCAGGCCUAACACAUGCAAGUCGAGCGAGCGGCGGACGGGUGAGUAAUGUAUGGGGACUGCCCGAUAGAGGGGGAUAACUACUGGAAACGGUGGCUAAUACCGCAUACUGUCGGAUAACCCAUAUGGGAUUAGCUAGUAGGUAAGGUAAUGGCUUACCUAGGCGACGAUCCCUAGCUGGUCUGAGAGGAUGAUCAGACACAAUGGGACGGAGAAACGGCCCAAAUCCCAAGGGAGGCAGGAGGGGGGAAUAUUGGACAAUGGGCGGAAGGCUUAUUGAGCCAGGCCGGGGGUAUGGAGAAGGCCCCAGGGGUGUAAAGUACUUUCAGUCGGGAGGCGUUACCGACAGAAGAAGCACCGGCUAACUCCGUGCCAGCAGCCGCGGUAAUAC
rnacentral:rRNA from 1 species